rnacentral:rRNA from 1 species
UACGUAGGGGGCGAGCGUUGUCCGGAUUUAUUGGGCGUAAAGAGCUCGUAGGCGGUUGGGUAAGUCGGGUGUGAAAACUCAGGGCUCAACUCUGAGACGCCACUCGAUACUGCUCUGACUCGAGUCCGGUAGGGGAGCGUGGAAUUCCCGGUGUAGCGGUGAAAUGCGCAGAUAUCGGGAGGAACACCAGUGGCGAAGGCGGCUACCUGGACAAUUGCUGACGCUCAGGCACGAAAGCGUGGGGAGCAAAAGGG